rnacentral:rRNA from 1 species
GACGUAGGAGGCGAGCGUUAUCCGGAUUCACUGGGCGUAAAGCGCAUGUAGGCGGUUGGACAAGUCGUGUGUUAAAGCCCCUGGCCCAACUGGGGGAGGUCAUGCGAGACUGUGCGACUUGAGGGCAAGAGAGGCACGUGGAACUCCCGGUGUAGCGGUGGAAUGCGUAGAGAUCGGGAAGAACACCAGUGGCGAAGGCGACGUGCUGGGUUGCACCUGACGCUGAGAUGCGAAAGUGUGGGGAGCAAACGGG